GUGUUUUCCAGGUAUGUGUCUUUGACUCCAAAAGAGACCCAAGAAGGAAAUAUUAACUGGGAAAACUGGACGUGCAAGAAACAGUUUCUACAACUGGUCAGUGUCAGGGUAAUCCAAUCCAAUGAGAGCAUCUUCUACCAGAGCAGGCCUAAGGAAAUGACCUCCACAGGACCAGUUUGAAAUUUUUUCCUGACCCAUGGUCAAUGAACCUGUCUGGGAAUCCAGGGAUCAUAUCGCAUAAUAGCUUUGGAAACUGACCUAACUUCUCAGAAUCCAAUAGAGGUUGAAUCACUUUUCAUGUUUAUGACUUCAUACUUCAAAUUAUUUAAUUCCAAAGGUUAAUCCAAAGGAUGCAAAGCAUGAAAAACUUCCUAAAAUUCAAUGAAAUGUUGACUUCAGCAGCUUGCAUACCAAGGGAGAAUGGUGCCUGGAGCUCACAGUGAUGCAUCUUGUAGGCAACGGGAAGUCAGCUAAAACACUGGCAGAGUGAAGAACCCUCCAGGCUUUGAGUUUCUGUAAGUUUUUUUUUUUUUCUUUUUCCUAG